rnacentral:rRNA from 1 species
CCUACGGGCGGCAGCAGUGAGGAAUAUUGGUCAAUGGACGAGAGACUGAACCAGCCAAGUAGCGUGAAGGAUGAAUGCCCUAUGUGUUGUAAACUUCUUUUAUAAAGGAAUAAAACGAGGCACGUGUGCCUGUUUGCAUGUACUUUAUGAAUAAGGAUCGGCUAACUCCGUGCCAGCAGCCGCGGUAAUACGGAGGAUCCGAGCGUUAUCCGGAUUUAUUGGGUUUAAAGGGAGCGUAGAUGGGUUGGUAAGUCAGUUGUGAAAGUUUGCGGCUCAACCGUAAAAUUGCAAUUGAUACUGGCAGUCUUGAGUACAGUUGAGGUAGGCGGAAUGCGUGGUGUAGCGGUGAAAUGCUUAGAUAUCGCGAAGAACCCCGAUUGCGAAGGCAGCUUACUAACCUGUGACUGACAUUGAGGCUCGAAAGUGUGGGUAUCAAACAGGAUUAGAUACCCCUGUAGUC